GCAGCAACAGCAGCAGCAGCAGCAGCAACAUCAUCAUAAUGCACAUGUUUUGCCUUCCAUUGAACUAAUUAAAAUAACGAAUUAGAUAUUGAACAGCAACACGAGCAACAGAUAGCAGACAGCAACAACAGCUAGAAAGUGCAACAAAAAUAAUUCAAAUAUAUAAAACACAAAAAGCAAAAAAUAAAAACAAAAUAAAGAUAUAUAUAUAUAUAUUAACAAAAUUAAACAGUUAUAAUCUUCUACAUAAAGAACAAAAGUCUUAAAGCAAACUACUUUCAUACCAAAAAGAAAAGAAAAAAAAAAUCGAAAAGAAAUGAAAUGAAAACUGUCACAAGCUGCGAGUAUUACACUAAACUACAAAUGAUUACUUUACUAUUUAAGCACCUAGGCAAGCUAGGCAAAAUCUAUGCAUGCAACAAGAA